rnacentral:rRNA from 1 species
AAGUCGAGCGAGAAAAGGGGAGCAAUCCCCUGAGUACAGCGGCGCACGGGUGAGUAACACGUGGGUAAUCUGCCCUGAAGUGGGGAAUAACACCGGGAAACCGGUGCUAAUACCGCAUAUGAUCACGGUGUCUGCGGACACAGGGAUGAAAGGAGCAAUUCGCUUCAGGAGGAGCCCGCGGCUGAUUAGCUAGUUGGUGAGGUAAUGGCUCACCAAGGCAACGAUCAGUAUCCGGUCUGAGAGGACGGUCGGACACACUGGAACUGAGACACGGUCCAGACUCCUACGGGAGGCAGCAGUGGGGAAUUUUUCGCAAUGGGGGCAACCCUGACGAAGCAACGCCGCGUGGAUGAUGAAGUAUCUCGGUACGUAAAAUCCUUUCGACAGGGAAGAAACCGCAAGGUUGACGGUACCUGUAGAAGAAGCCCCGGCUAACUCCGUGCCAGCAGCCGCGGUAAUACGGGGGGGGCUAGCGUUGUUCGGAAUUACUGGGCGUAAAGGGCGCGUAGGCGGUCUGCUAAGUUGGAUGUGAAAACUCUGGGCUUAACCCAGAGCCUGCAUUCAAUACUGACAGGCUAGAGUUCUGGAGGGGAUAGCGGAAUUCCUGGUGUAGCGGUGAAAUGCGUAAUAUCAGGAGGAACACCGGUGGCGAAGGCGGCUAUCUGGACAGAGUCUGACGCUGAGGCGCGAAAGCUAGGGGAGCAAACAGGAUUAAAUACCCUGGUAGUCCUACCCUAACGAUGGAUACUUGGUGUAACUGGGAUGAAUCCAGUUGUGCCAAACUACCCAUUAAU